AUGCAGUCGCACGGACCUUUCGGGGUGAGUGGCGGACGGGUGAGUAUCGCGUAGGGAUCUAUCCAUGGGUGGGGGAUAACAUCGGGAAACUGGUGCUAAUACCGCAUGAUACCUGAGGGUCAAAGGCGCAAGUCGCCUGUGGAGGAGCCUGCGUUCGAUUAGCUUGUUGGUGGGGUAAAGGCCUACCAAGGCGAUGAUCGAUAGCUGGUCUGAGAGGAUGAUCAGCCACACUGGGACUGAGACACGGCCCAGACUCCUACGGGAGGCAGCAGUGGGGAAUAUUGGACAAUGGGCGAAAGCCUGAUCCAGCAAUGCCGCGUGUGUGAAGAAGGUCUUCGGAUUGUAAAGCACUUUCGACGGGGACGAUGAUGACGGUACCCGUAGAAGAAGCCCCGGCUAACUUCGUGCCAGCAGCCGCGGUAAUACGAAGGGGGCUAGCGUUGCUCGGAAUGACUGGGCGUAAAGGGCGCGUAGGCGGUUUACACAGUCAGAUGUGAAAUUCCAGGGCUUAACCUUGGGGCUGCAUUUGAUACGUGUAGACUAGAGUGUGAGAGAGGGUUGUGGAAUUCCCAGUGUAGAGGUGAAAUUCGUAGAUAUUGGGAAGAACACCGGUGGCGAAGGCGGCAACCUGGCUCAUUACUGACGCUGAGGCGCGAAAGCGUGGGGAGCAAACAGGAUUAGAUACCCUGGUAGUCCACGCUGUAAGCGAUGUGUGCUGGAUGUUGGGUAACUUAGUUACUCAGUGUCGAAGCUAACGCGCUAAGCACACC
rnacentral:rRNA from 1 species